GACGAAGGUGGCAAGCGUUACUCGGAAUUACUAGGCGUAAAGCGUGGGUAGGUGGUUCGGUAAGUCUGUUGUGAAAGCUCCUGGCUUAACUGGGAGAGGCCAAUGGAAACUGCCGAGCUUGAAUCGUGGAGAGGUCACUGGAAUUCCUGGUGUAGCGGUGAAAUGCGUAGAGAUCAGGAGGAACACCGAUGGCGAAAGCAGGUGACUGGACACGUAUUGACACUCAGCCACGAAAGCUAGGGGAGCAAACAGG
rnacentral:rRNA from 1 species